rnacentral:rRNA from 1 species
GGGCCCGCACAAGCGGAGGAACAUGUGGUUUAAUUCGAUGAUACGCGAGGAACCUUACCCGGGCUUGAAUUGCAACAGAAUAAUCAUGAAAGUGGUUAGCCGCAAGGCUGUUGUGAAGGUGCUGCAUGGUUGUCGUCAGCUCGUGCCGUGAGGUGUCGGCUUAAGUGCCAUAACGAGCGCAACCCUUAUUGACAGUUACUAACGGGCAAAGCCGAGGACUCUGUCGAGACUGCCGUCGUAAGAUGUGAGGAAGGGGGGGAUGACGUCAAAUCAGCACGGCCCUUACGUCCGGGGCUACACACGUGUUACAAUGGGGGGUACAGAAGGCAGCGAAGGGGCGACCCGAAGCCAAUCCCGAAAACCUCUCUCAGUUCGGACUGGAGUCUGCAACCCGACUCCACGAAGCUGGAUUCGCUAGUAAUCGCGCAUCAGCCAUGGCGCGGUGAAUACGUUCCCGGGCCUU